CCCUUAGAUGUUCUGGGCCGCACGCGUGCUACACUGAGUGGAUCAGCGGGUCAGGUUGCGCGAAAGUGUUUCCUAAUCUUGAAAUCCGCUCGUGAUGGGGAUUGACGGUUGCAAUUUUCCGUCAUGAACGAGGAAUACCUUGUAAGCGCGGGUCAUCAUCCCGCGCUGAAUACGUCCCUGCCCUUUGUACACACCGCCCGUCGCUCCUACCGAUUGAGUGGUCCGGUGAGGCUUUGGGAUCUGAGCAAGGAGAGCGUUUCGCUCGUUUUGCCCGGAAAACUCAGUCGAACCUUAUCAUUUAGAGGAAGGAGAAGUCGUAACA
rnacentral:rRNA from 1 species